rnacentral:RNase_P_RNA from 1 species
GGAGCCGGCCAGGCAAUCGCCGCCGCGAAAGCGGGGGAGGAAAGUCCGGGCUUCAUAGGGCGAGGUGCCAGGUAAUGCCUGGGCGGCGUGAGCCGACGGAAAGUGCCACAGAGAACAGACCGCCGAUGGCCCGCAAGGGCACAGGCAAGGGUGAAACGGUGCGGUAAGAGCGCACCGCGGGGCCGGCAACGGCAACGGCACGGUAAACCCCACCGGAAGCAAGGCCAAAUAGGGAUGGACGUAGCCGCAAGGCUGCAACGCGCGGCCCGCGCGCCAUCCGGGUAGGCUGCUAAAGCGCCGCGGUGACGCGUCGCGUAGAGGAAUGGUUGCCUCGGGUCCGCAAGGAUUCGACAGAACCCGGCUUAUCGGCCGACUCCCUUU